rnacentral:rRNA from 1 species
GAUUAUGGCUCAGGGUGAACGCUGGCGGUAUGGAUAAGGCAUGCAAGUCGAGCGCCUCGCAAGAGGAGCGGCAGACGAUGUAGUAACACGUAGGUACAUCCCCCAAGGUCAGGAAUAGCUAGUCGAAAGAUUAGGUAAUACUUGAUAUGAAGUAAUUUGAAAGAUUUAUCGCCAUGGGAGUGGCCUGCGUCGUAUCAGCUAGUUGGUGAGGUAAUGGCUCACCAAGGCUA